rnacentral:rRNA from 1 species
CUCGGGUGACGAGCGGCGGACGGGUGAGUAAUGUCUGGGAAACUGCCUGAUGGAGGGGGAUAACUACUGGAAACGGUAGCUAAUACCGCAUAACGUCGCAAGACCAAAGUGGGGGACCUUCGGGCCUCAUGCCAUCAGAUGUGCCCAGAUGGGAUUAGCUAGUAGGUGGGGUAAUGGCUCACCUAGGCGACGAUCCCUAGCUGGUCUGAGAGGAUGACCAGCCACACUGGAACUGAGACACGGUCCAGACUCCUACGGGAGGCAGCAGUGGGGAAUAUUGCACAAUGGGCGCAAGCCUGAUGCAGCCAUGCCGCGUGUGUGAAGAAGGCCUUCGGGUUGUAAAGCACUUUCAGCGGGGAGGAAGGCGGUAAGGUUAAUAACCUUGUCGAUUGACGUUACCCGCAGAAGAAGCACCGGCUAACUCCGUGCCAGCAGCCGCGGUAAUACGGAGGGUGCAAGCGUUAAUCGGAAUUACUGGGCGUAAAGCGCACGCAGGCGGUCUGUCAAGUCGGAUGUGAAAUCCCCGGGCUCAACCUGGGAACUGCAUUCGAAACUGGCAGGCUAGAGUCUUGUAGAGGGGGGUAGAAUUCCAGGUGUAGCGGUGAAAUGCGUAGAGAUCUGGAGGAAUACCGGUGGCGAAGGCGGCCCCCUGGACAAAGACUGACGCUCAGGUGCGAAAGCGUGGGGAGCAAACAGGAUUAGAUACCCUGGUAGUCCACGCCGUAAACGAUGUCGAUUUGGAGGUUGUGCCCUUGAGGCGUGGCUUCCGGAGCUAACGCGUUAAAUCGACCGCCUGGGGAGUACGGCCGCAAGGUUAAAACUCAAAUGAAUUGACGGGGGCCCGCACAAGCGGUGGAGCAUGUGGUUUAAUUCGAUGCAACGCGAAGAACCUUACCUGGUCUUGACAUCCACAGAACUUUCCAGAGAUGGAUUGGUGCCUUCGGGAACUGUGAGACAGGUGCUGCAUGGCUGUCGUCAGCUCGUGUUGUGAAAUGUUGGGUUAAGUCCCGCAACGAGCGCAACCCUUAUCCUUUGUUGCCAGCGGUUCGGCCGGGAACUCAAAGGAGACUGCCAGUGAUAAACUGGAGGAAGGUGGGGAUGACGUCAAGUCAUCAUGGCCCUUACGACCAGGGCUACACACGUGCUACAAUGGCAUAUACAAAGAGAAGCGACCUCGCGAGAGCAAGCGGACCUCAUAAAGUAUGUCGUAGUCCGGAUUGGAGUCUGCAACUCGACUCCAUGAAGUCGGAAUCGCUAGUAAUCGUAGAUCAGAAUGCUACGGUGAAUACGUUCCCGGGCCUUGUACACACCG